UUCUACUUGGUCGGAAUAGAGUAUUAGGGGCUGUUUGUUACGUGAUAAUAUUUUGGAUACCUAGGAAAAUGAAAGUGGAAAAUUUUAAUUCUCACAUUUGGUAUAAGGAAAACACAAAAUUUCCCUUGGAAAAAUUUAUUCCUCUGCAUUUCAUUUAACACUACCGGAUCCCUGGUCAAAAUACCUUGUUGGAUAUGGUAUUUUUUUUUCCUUCGUAUCGGGAAACCAUUCACAUAUUUCGAAGACAAAAUUACCCUCCCGAGCCCUAGUUUUGCAUUUAUUCGAAGAACUGGUCUUACUGUGAAUAACUUUUGUUGAUUUGGAGCGAAAAUUUCCACGGUAACUUGUCUUCGGUUGGUUCGCACAUGCUAUUGUUUGUUGCCUCUGUUUUGUGUGGUUCAACAAAUCAGUAACCAACUCUUCAUUAUGGUGCAUGACAUAGUGUGUGAAACUUGCCCAAGGUCAUACAAACAGCUUGUUCGACGUUACAUCACAACCCCACUAUAAGUUCUCGACGGUGUGGCUGGUAGGUCACAUUCCAUCAGUAUGCAAUAUGAUUUUCAGAGUGAUGUUGCAAGUUCCCCCGAAGUUUUCGUCUUUAUAUUUCUCUGUUUUUGUCUGUGAUUUUAGGUCACAGAUAAUGCUAAUCAAUCCACUUCCCAACGUCAACAGAGCCUUCUCCAUGGUGAUACAGUAAGAGAGACAACUACACUCUGGUGCAGGUAUGAGUCUUGAUAUGAAUGUGUUUGCAAAUAUGGCACAUCAGAACAAUUUUCAUAGAGGAGGAAACAAUUAUGGAAGAGGAAGAGGUCGGUUGAACAAUUAUGGAUAUGGAAGAAAUCAGUUGAAUGGAGGAAAGCUAUGUACCUAUUGUGGUCGCACGAAUCACACCGUGGAAACAUGUUUUCAAAAACAUGGAUUUCCACCAAGUUAUGGAAACAGAAAUAAUUCUUCACCGGGAUAUGGAAAUAGAGACAAUUCAUUGAGCAGAACCAAUCCAUCAGCAAACAACUUUGAAUCUGUAGUUGAGCAACCAGAUCAAGGAAGUUCUCAGCAUUCAGAAGUAAAAUUCCCCUUUUCUCACGAUCAAUGCAAACAGUUAAUGCAUUUGUUACAGUCACAAACAACAGACAAUAAUUCAGUUGAUCAUGCUUCAAAUCAUGUGCUAGUCUCAGCUGCACAAGUAGAUACUCAAGUUCCUGUUACACAGUCAGCCCCAUACCAAUGUGAUGACUGGUUUUGCUAGAUAGCAACAAGGACUGUAUGUGAUAGUCUCUGAAGAUAGUAAGCCAAUUCCACCCAUCCUCAUAGUACAGUGAAUACCACCUCAACCAAUAAAACUGCCCUUUUAUGGCAUCGAAGAUUUGGGCAUACUUCUUCAAGAAUAAUGUAGCAAAUGGCACUGCACUUUCCUUGUAUUUCUGUUGUUCCUGAUAUAGGUCCAUGUGACAUUUGCCAUUUGACCAAACAAAAGAAACCAUCGUUUGUAUUGAGUAGCUCUAAGUCAAAUCAAAUUUUUGAUCUGCUUCAUGCAGACAUUUGGGGACCACAUCAUCUUGCUUCUGUUCAUGGUGACAAAUCUUUUCUUACUUUAGUGGAUGAUUUUUUAAAGUUCACUUGGGUAAUUUUGAUGAAGACCAAAAGUGAAACCAGACAGCAUUUAUGUAAUUUCAUAACAAUGAUUGAAACCCAAUUCAAUUCCAAAUUGAAGGCUAUCAGAAGUGACAAUGGCCGUGAAUUCAUGAUGACCGAUUUCUACUCCACUAAAAGUAUUCUCCACCAAACAACCUGUAUUGAAACCCCACAACAGAAUGGAGUUGUGGAAAGGAAGCACCAACACAUAUUAAAUGUGGCCAGAUCCCUCCUUUUUCAAUCCCAUAUUCCAUUACCACUAUGGUCCUAUACUAUCCUCCAUGUUGUGCACAUUAUCAACCGCACUGUUACACCUUUACUUUCAUAUAAAACUCCUUUUGAAACCUUACAUAACACCCCACCCACCUUUACGCACCUAAGAACCUUUGGCUGUCUAUGCUAUGUUUCCACCAUCACUGCCCAUCGCAUAAAGUUUGAUCAACGUGCUCGCAAAGGUGUAUAAAUUGGAUAUUCCCAAGGAACAAAGGGUUACAUUGUCUAUGAUCUGUUAUCUAGGGAAUUUCAUCUUUCCCGAAAUGUGAUCUUCUAUGAGGAUAAUUUUCCUUUUCUUACAGAACCUGCUUCCAUUCCCUCUUCCCAAGUUUUUGACCCUUUUACUUCAACACCAUCCUCCCAUACACAACCUUUAUAUGAUAUACCUACUGAUACAUUGCCAAAUCCCAUCUCCCCUCCUCACUCACCCAAUCCAACAUCCAUUUCAAAUCCACAUUCAUCUGUUUCCUCUCCCCCUCAUCUUCUUGGAUUUCCAAUCCUGAACCACCUCCCAUUCCAUCAGAUACGCAUCUCAGAAGAUCAACCCGAAAUCGUUCCAUUCCACAUUAUCUUCAAGACUAUCACCACAGUCUCCUUGCUGCUCAAUCAAUUCCAUUUCACUCAGGUAUCACCAAAACUUCUACUCCUUAUCCUUUGUCUAAUUAUCUUUCCUAUGAUAAUUGUGCUUUUCCUUAUAAACGUUUUUGCCUGACUGUUACGGCCAACACCGAGCCUCACACUUAUGCUCAGGCUGCCAAACAUGCUCAUUGGCAGCAAGCCAUGCAGAAUGAACUCACUGCCUUGGGUUUAAAUAAUACUUGGUCUUUGGUUGAUCUCCCUGCUAACAAGCACCCUAUUGCCUGUAAAUGGGUUUUCAAAAUUAAAUACCAUGCUGAUGGGUCCAUAGAGAGAUACAAAGCAAGAUUGUUGGCUAAGGGUUUUACCCAGCUUGAGGGAGUCGACUAUUUUGAUACCUUCUCUCCCGUUGCCAAGUUAACUACCAUCCGUGUCCUUCUCUCAGUUGCAGUGGCAAAGGGUUGGUAUCUUCAACAAUUGGAUGUCAACAAUUGGAUGUCAACAAUUGGAUGUCAACAAUACAUUCCUUCAUGGUGGCCUCCAUGAAGAAGUAUACAUGACACCUCCUCCUGGUCUCCCUUGCUCGAAGCCUAAUCAGGUCUGCCUCCUCCAGAAAUCUUUGUACGGUUUGAAGCAGGCUAGCAGACAAUGGCACUCCAAGCUGUCUUCAGCUAUGUUUUCCCUUGGCUACCACCAAUCUCAAGCAGAUCAUUCUCUCUUCACCACUCAACAUGGCUCUCACUUCACUGCUUUGCUGAUUUACGUAGAUGAUAUUGUCUUAACCGGCAAUGAUCUUCACGAAAUUAAUAGAAUCAAACAGCACUUAGAUGACUGGUUUAAAAUCAAAGACUUGGGAGACCUUCAGUAUUUUCUGGGGCUGGAAAUCUCACGUUCGAAGACAGGUCUUGUUAUUAACCAACGAAAGUAUGCUUUAGAAAUCCUUUCUGAUACUGGUUAUUUGGGUUCUAAACCUGUCUCUACCCUCAUGGACUCUUCCACUCGUUUGACUACUUCUGAUGGCAAGCCCCUUGAAGAUCCUUCCUCUUAUAGGCGUCUUAUUGGGAAGCUCCUCUACUUAACCACCACCAGACCAGACAUUUCCUUCUCUGUUAAUUGUUUAAGUCAGUUUGUGUCCAAUCCUCGUGACACCCAUCUACAUGCUGCUCAUCGGAUUCUUCGUUAUCUCAAGGGUCUCCAGCAUCUGGUCUCUUUCUACCUGCUUUGAAUUCCCUAAGCAUCUGUGGCUUCGCUAAUUCUGACUGAGCUUCUUGCAGUGACACCCGACGUUCCAUUACAGGUUUUUGUGUCUACUUGGGCUCAUCUUUGGUUCCCUGGUGUUCCAAGAAACAAGCUACUGUUUCCAUGUCUUCUUCUGAGGCAGAAUAUCAUGCUUUGGCCAGCUUAGCCUGUGAGUUCCAAUGGCUGCAGUUUCUUCUAUCAGACCUUGGAGUUCCUUGGCUCAAACCUGCACCCAUCUAUUGUGAUAGCCGAUCUGCCAUAUCACUUGCUCACAAUCCCACCUUUCAUGAGCGAUCAAAAUAUAUUGAAAUAGAUUGCCAUGUUACUCGUGAGAAAAUUAACAGUGGCCUUCUCCAUUUACUCCCCAUUUCCACUACUGCCCAAUUGGCUGAUUUCUUCACCAAGCCUCUUACUCCUACCACAUUUCAUUCUUUGUUGUCCAAACUGGGUGUUCAUAAUAUUCACCGUCCAGUUCGUUACCACACGUGGCAUCCAUCAAGACAGAAAGCACUCCACUCACUGUAACUAAUUCUGUUACUUUUCUGUUUUUAGUUAGUUAGUUUGUUAUCAGCUUUCGCUCCCUUUUUACUUGGACUGGUGUAUAUAAAUGGUGCUAGUUGCAUCAGUGUACAGAUA